AUUGAACGCUGGCGGCAGGCCUAACACAUGCAAGUCGAGCGGAUGAAGGGAGCUUGCUCCUGGAUUCAGCGGCGGACGGGUGAGUAAUGCCUAUGAAUCUGCCUGGUAGUGGGGGAUAACGUCCGGAAACGGGCGCUAAUACCGCAUACGUCCUGAGGGAGAAAGUGGGGGAUCUUCGGACCUCACGCUAUCAGAUGGGCCUAGGUCGGAUUAGCUAGUUGGUGGGGUAAAGGCCUACCAAGGCGACGAUCCGUAACUGGUCUGAGAGGAUGAUCAGUCACACUGGAACUGAGACACGGUCCAGACUCCUACGGGAGGCAGCAGUGGGGAAUAUUGGACAAUGGGCGAAAGCCUGAUCCAGCCAUGCCGCGUGUGUGAAGAAGGUCUUCGGAUUGUAAAGCACUUUAAGUUGGGAGGAAGGGCAGUAAGUUAAUACCUUGCUGUUUUGACGUUACCAACAGAAUAAGCACCGGCUAACUUCGUG
rnacentral:rRNA from 1 species